CACGUAGGGCGCAAGCGUUGUCCGGAAUUAUUGGGCGUAAAGAGCUCGUAGGCGGUCUGUUGCGUCCGCUGUGAAAACUCGGGGCUUAACCCCGAGCCUGCAGUGGAUACGGGCAGACUAGAGGUAGGUAGGGGAGAAUGGAAUUCCAGGUGGAGCGGUGAAAUGCGUAGAGAUCUGGAAGAACACCGAAGGCGAAGGCAGCGUUCUGGGAAGCAACUGACGCUCAUGUGCGAAAGCCAGGGGAGCGAACGGG
rnacentral:rRNA from 1 species